GAUGAACGCUGGCGGCGUGCUUAACACAUGCAAGUCGAACGGAAAGGCCCUGCUUUUGUGGGGUGCUCGAGUGGCGAACGGGUGAGUAACACGUGAGUAACCUGCCCUUGACUUUGGGAUAACUUCAGGAAACUGGGGCUAAUACCGGAUAGGAGCUCCUGCUGCAUGGUGGGGGUUGGAAAGUUUCGGCGGUUGGGGAUGGACUCGCGGCUUAUCAGCUUGUUGGUGGGGUAGUGGCUUACCAAUGCUUUGACGGGUAGCCGGCCUGAGAGGGUGACCGGCCACAUUGGGACUGAGAUACGGCCCAGACUCCUACGGGAGGCAGCAGUGGGGAAUAUUGCACAAUGGGCGGAAGCCUGAUGCAGCAACGCCGCGUGCGGGAUGACGGACUUCGGGUUGUAAACCGCUUUCGCCUGUGACGAAGCGUGAGUGACGGUAAUGGGUAAAGAAGCACCGGCUAACUACGU
rnacentral:rRNA from 1 species